UUUGUAGCAUUUGGUGGGUAGACUUGAUCAUCUUAUUGGUGGUUGUUACUAGAAUUUUGUCUAUUUUCCCAUUCAGCAAAUUGAACACCAGCUGAAGUUUGCAUACUCCAAUAGGUUAUCUCUUAAAUCAUUUCUUUUUGUCUUUAAUGUUUAGCAAAUUUUCUCGCUUUGCAGGUCAGAUGGAGAACUUUUGGGUCCCAAUUAUGAGCACCUUCGAAAAGUUUUAUCCGUUUUUGCAGAGGUUAUUUUGAUAUCAGAACCUAUAGCUGCCAGAUUGAGUUGUUUAUUUGUUCCUGUUAUUUUUUAUCCAGUAAAGAAGUAAUACUAAAUCUUAUUUAGUAAUUUCCGUUGUAUGUUAGUAAUUUGUCUAUCAGAUCUAUACUGAAUUUCUGAUCCGAAAUAACAUACACAUCAAUCAAAAAAGUAGAUAGGUAAAAUAGUAUGAAAUUGUUGAAAUAAUUUGCAAAGAUCAUAAGUCAUAUAAGUUUUGCUUUUCUUAGGUUCUAUGUGCUGGAAACGAUCUUGCCACUGAAGAGAUGAAAAACCGAAUGAUUAAUCCGUUGAGGAAUCUUCAGAAAACCGUACCAGCAACCACCUGGGCAUCAGCGUGUUCAUUGCUAUUGCCUCAGCAAGAGAUGGAAGUGGAAUCCAUUCUAUCACAUAAGCAAGAUGCUAACUUGUCACCAGUGCAAUCAGGGGCAAAGUUAGGUGGACGCAAGGGGCGUAUAUUGAAAGGCCGUCGACAAAAACUUGUAUUGCGCAAAUAGGGUAAAAUAAUUCUCUUGACAAAAAGGGAAGAUGCUAGCGGAGUAGCAAAGGUGGCUUAAAAAUAGCUUCAAUUCCAACCGUAGCAUUCUUGAAAUUCUUUGAUAUUCGAACUCCACAGCUGAGUGCAAUGAAUCUAUGAUUUCUGCAACUUUGUGUCGUUCAAACAUUUGACCAGGAAGAUGAAGGUAUGAUGCAAUUUGCUAGCCAAUUGCUGUUCUGAACUGCUUAUUAUCCCAGUUCAGAAGUCGCAAUGUUUCAUGUGAACGCUCUACCACUUCUCCAUUUUCAUGGAAGUUCCUGUAAGAUCCAUGUUGAGCAAGAAAAUCAGUUAACAUGGUGACCUUUAAUAAAAGGGACGCUCCAUGCAUCUUUACAAAUUUUAAUUAAAUAAAUCAACAAACAAAUUUCUAAAAUUUAUACUGAACUUUUUUAUAAGAAAAAAGAAAGG
rnacentral:lncRNA from 1 species